UACGGGGGGGGCAAGCGUUGUUCGGAAUUACUGGGCGUAAAGGGCUCGUAGGCGGCCAACUAAGUCGGACGUGAAAUCCCUCGGCUCAACCGGGGAACUGCGUCCGAUACUGGAUGGCUUGAAUCCGGGAGAGGGAAGCGGAAUUCCCGGUGUAGUGGUGAAAUGCGUAGAUAUCGGGAGGAACACCAGUGGCGAAGGCG
rnacentral:rRNA from 1 species